rnacentral:rRNA from 1 species
UUAUUAAUACCCUCAAAAACACUCUAUUCUAAUAAACAAACCAUUUUUCCCCCUAAGUAUGGGCGACAGAAAAGGAACAUCCAGCGCUAUAGAAAAAGUACCGCAAGGGAACGCUGAAAAAGAAAUGAAACAAAUCGGUAAAGUUUAAAAAAGCAGAGAUUUACACUCGUACCUUUUGCAUCAUGAUUUAGUCAGUAAAAACAAGCAAAAAGCACUUUAGUUUGAUUUCCCGAAACUAAGUGAGCUACUCCAAGACAGCCUAAAACAGGGCUAACCCGUCUCUGUGGCAAAAGAGUGGGAUGAGCUUCGAGUAGAGGUGAUAAACCUACCGAACUUAGUUAUAGCUGGUUGCCUGAGAAAUGAAUAAAAGUUCAGCUUUUUGGUUUCUCUCUUCAAUCUGCUUAGCUAUAACUGAGCCAAAGAAGCCAAAAAAGUUAAUUAAAGGGGGUACAGCUCCUUUAAACAAGAUACAACUUUAUCAGCCGGGUAAAGAUCAUAUAAUAACCAAGGUAAAAUGUUCUAGUGGGCCUAAAAGCAGCCACCUAUAAGAAAGCGUCAAAGCUCCUCCAUACCACCACCUCCCACCAAUUCAGAUAAUGCACUCUAAACCCGCUAAUUCUAUCAAGCCGCCCCAUGCUAUCAUGGGGGUGAUUAUGCUAAAAUGAGUAAUAAGAAAAGCCACCUUUUCUCCUUGCAUUCGUGUAAAUCGAAACGGACUCCCCAUCGAACAUUAAUCGGCCCCAAAAAAAGAGGGCAAUGAGCCAUCAACUCCUAUAACAAGAAAAACACCCAAACACCAACCGUUAACCUCACACUAGUGUGCUUAUAAGGAAAGACUAAAAGAAAAAGAAGGAACUCGGCAAAUACAAGCCCCGCCUGUUUACCAAAAACAUCGCCUCUUGAAAACUAAAUAUAAGAGGUCC